GAUGAAGAACGUAGCGAAACGCGAUAGGUAAUGUGAAUUGCAGAAUUCAGUGAAUCAUCGAGUCUUUGAACGCACAUUGCGCCCUCUGGUAUUCCGGAGGGCAUGCCUGUCCGAGCGUCAUUGCUGCCCUCAAGCACGGCUUGUGUGUUGGGCCCCGUCCUCCUUCCGGGGGACGGGUCCGAAAGGCAGCGGCGGCACCGCGUCCGGUCCUCAAGCGUAUGGGGCUUUGUCACUCGCUUUGUAGGCCUGGCCGGCGCUUGCCGAUCAACCAAACUUUUUAUCAGGUUGACCUCGGAUCAGGUAGGGAUACCCGCUGAACUUAAGCAUAUCAAUAAGCGGAGGA
rnacentral:misc_RNA from 1 species